GACGAACGCUGGCGGCGUGCCUAAUACAUGCAAGUAGAACGCUGAAGGAGGAGCUUGCUUCUCUGGAUGAGUUGCGAACGGGUGAGUAACGCGUAGGUAACCUGCCUGGUAGCGGGGGAUAACUAUUGGAAACGAUAGCUAAUACCGCAUAAUAGUAGAUGUUGCAUGACAUUUGCCUAAAAGGUGCAAUUGCAUCACUACCAGAUGGACCUGCGUUGUAUUAGCUAGUUGGUGGGGUAACGGCUCACCAAGGCGACGAUACAUAGCCGACCUGAGAGGGUGAUCGGCCACACUGGGACUGAGACACGGCCCAGACUCCUACGGGAGGCAGCAGUAGGGAAUCUUCGGCAAGGGACGGAAGUCUGACCGAGCAACGCCGCGGGAGUGAAGAAGGUUUUCGGAUCGUAAAGCUCUGUUGUAAGAGAAGAACGAGUGUGAGAGUGGAAAGUUCACACUGUGACGGUAUCUUACCAGAAAGGGACGGCUAACUACGUG
rnacentral:rRNA from 1 species